UUAUGGCAUGCAUAAACCAAUAGGGGCUGCCGCUCUCUCCGGAACGCGUCUGAAUAUGAAUUAGCAGUCGGACGGACGGGGGAUUCAAAGAGCCUUGAAUGAUCAGAAAUGGACGUGUGCCUGGACAGUUAUAGAUAGAUCGUCUUUUCACUCUCAGGGACAAGUGAAAGGGACCAGGGGCGUGUCACUGACACAACAAACAAGACCAGUGGAGGCCUACAUCAAAUGUUAUGGACAAUAAACUGAUUCUUAAGAUGGUCAGAUACGUGAAAAGCUGGUUGUCUCUACAGAGAUUCGAGAAAAUAGAACCCUCUUGGAAUGAGAAGAAGAGUGAUGUCCGACAGAAUACUCUUUGAUGUAACAAUAGCAGCUUUAUAUCUAGAGUGAUGUCAGACAGAAUUAUCUUUCAUGUAACAAUAGCAGCUUUAUAUCUAGAGU